CAAUAGCGUAUAUUAAAGUUGUUGCAGUUAAAAAGCUCGUAGUUGGAUUUCUGGUUGAAGCGACCGGUCGGGCGUUGAUUCGUCUGCACUGGAGUCGGUUUUGGCCAUCCUCUAGGAAAGUGCGUCUGGUAUUAAGUUAUCGGGCGUAUGAUCCUGGUCUUUUACUGUGAAAAAAUUAGAGUGUUUAAAGCGGGCCUUCGCCUUGAAUACAUUAGCAUGGAAUAAUAAGAUAGGACUUUGGUCUAUUUUGUUGGUUUGCAGACCGAAGUAAUGAUUAAUAGGGAUAGUUGGGGGUAUUUAUAUUCCGAUGUCAGAGGUGAAAUUCUUAGAUUUUCGGAAGAUAAACUUAUGCGAAAGCAUUUACCAAGGAUGUUUUCAUUAA
rnacentral:rRNA from 1 species